rnacentral:rRNA from 1 species
UACGUAGGCAGCGAGCGUUGUUCGGAGUUACUGGGCGUAAAGGGUGUGUAGGCGGUUGUUUUAAGUUUGGUGUGAAAUCUCCCGGCUCAACUGGGAGGAUGCGCCGAAUACUGAAUGACUUGGAGUGCGGGAGAGGUGAGUGGAAUUCCUGGUGUAGCGGUGAAAUGCGCAGAUAUCAGGAGGAACACCGAUGGCGAAGGCAGGUCUCUGGGCCAUACUGACGUGAGGAGCGAAGGCGUGGGGAGCGAACAGG